GGAAAGGUGGCAGAGUGGUCGAAUGCACCGGAUUCGAAAUCCGGCAUACGGUUUACCGUAUCGGGGGUUCGAAUCCCCCCCUUUCCGCCA
rnacentral:tRNA from 1 species